GCGAGGAUUGCCAAGCCCGGUCAAAGGCGCCAGGUUGAGGGCCUGGUCUUAUAGAAGUUCGCAGGUUCGAAUCCUGCUCCUCGCA
rfam:Methanoplanus limicola DSM 2279 chromosome, whole genome shotgun sequence.